UACGAAGGGGGCUAGCGUUGCUCGGAAUUACUGGGCGUAAAGGGCGCGCAGGCGGUCCUUCAAGUCAGGCGUGAAAGCCCCGGGCUCAACCUGGGAAUCGCGCUUGAGACUGAGGGACUUGAGUUCGGGAGAGGAGAGCGGAAUUCCCAGUGUAGAGGUGAAAUUCGUAGAUAUUGGGAAGAACACCGGUGGCGAAGGCGGCUCUCUGGACCGACACUGACGCUGAGGCGCGAAAGCGUGGGGAGCAAACAGG
rnacentral:rRNA from 1 species